AGUCAUUGAAGUCAUUUAUUGCCACCAAAAGUUUCGCCCUGCUUCUUUUUUUGCUGUCCCAAACUGUUCUUGCUCCAGUGGUGGUGCGAGCGAUGGGGCUCGAGCUCGUGCUGGGGCUCGGGCUAGGUCCGUUCCGUUCCGUUCCGUGUGCAGGAUGUGUUUACAAUUUGUGGACACGCCGACCGCCAUUUGAUUGUUCCCUUCUCGCUGCGGCUGCUCCUGCCCCGCCGCCGCGUGUUGUCGAUUCCUCCGCUAAUUCGCCAGGUGGCCCGAAACUGCGCAUUGCUUUGAUGAUUGGGGAACCCUGGCACACCCCUCUCCGGUCGUCUCCCUUAUUGGACCGACCGGCCGUGAUACGCCACUAGUUUGUUUGCUUAAGAACGGCUCGGAAGAUGACGUGCCUUGGAUUGCCCAUAAAUGAGACUUACUAAAGCAAACAUGCCAGCUGGGAUUGGGCACGGGAAUGGGGACGGGCCCUUGUCUUCUCCUCCAGCUCAGAGCGGAAAGCACGGAAACACAAUCCAAGAAAGCAGGAAGAAGCUAUCCACGUGUGUACUUGUCUUUAGAAAUUUUAAUUCGUGUGUUUUUCAAACUGUUCCAAUUUUCUGAAACUACAGUGCAUGUGUCAUGUGUGCACAUAUAUUUGGAAACAUCCG
rnacentral:lncRNA from 1 species